rnacentral:rRNA from 1 species
GAACCUGCGGAGGGAUCAUUAAGAGUUCUAAAAAGACUCCCUAAACCCACUGUAUACCUACCUAUAUCGUUGCUUCGGCAGGCGGUCCCAGGGCGGGACCGCAGCCGUGAGGCGCCUGCCGAUGGAAACCAAAACUCUUUUGUCUUAAGUGGUAUUCUGAGUAACAAAACAAAAUAAAUCAAAACUUUCAACAACGGAUCUCUUGGCUCUAGCAUCGAUGAAGAACGCAGCGAAAUGCGAUAAGUAAUGCGAAUUGCAGAAUUCCGCGAGUCAUCGAAUCUUUGAACGCACAUUGCGCCCGCUAGUAUUCUGGCGGGCAUGCCUGUUCGAGCGUCAUUUCAACCCUCAGGCCUUGAUUGCCUGGUGUUGGGGCAUCUAUAGCGUCUAUAGGCCCUGAAAGACAGUGGCGGGCUCGCCGCAACUCCGAGCGCAGUAGUUACUUCUCGCUUAGGCGUUGUGGCGGGUGCUGGCCGUUAAAAAACCCCUAUAUUUACAGUAGUUUGACCUCGGAUCAGGUAGGAAUACCCGCUGAACUUAAGC